rnacentral:rRNA from 1 species
AACGAACGCUGGCGGCAUGCCUAACACAUGCAAGUCGAACGAGACCUUCGGGUCUAGUGGCGCACGGGUGCGUAACGCGUGGGAACCUGCCCUUAGGUUCGGAAUAACUCCCCGAAAGGGGUGCUAAUACCGGAUAAUGUCUUCGGACCAAAGAUUUAUCGCCUUUGGAUGGGCCCGCGUUGGAUUAGCUAGUUGGUAGGGUAAAAGCCUACCAAGGCGACGAUCCAUAGCUGGUCUGAGAGGAUGAUCAGCCACACUGGGACUGAGACACGGCCCAGACUCCUACGAGAGGCAGCAGUGGGGAAUAUUGGACAAUGGGCGAAAGCCUGAUCCAGCAAUGCCGCGUGAGUGAUGAAGGCCUUAGGGUUGUAAAGCUCUUUUACCCGGGAUGAUAAUGACAGGACCGGGAGAAUAAGCUCCGGCUAACUCCG